AGAACGAACGCUGGCGGCAUGCCUAAUACAUGCAAGUCGAACGAACUCUUCGGAGUUAGUGGCGCACGGGUGCGUAACGCGUGGGAAUCUGCCCUUGGGUUCGGAAUAACAGUUGGAAACGACUGCUAAUACCGGAUGAUGACGAAAGUCCAAAGAUUUAUCGCCCAGGGAUGAGCCCGCGUAGGAUUAGCUAGUUGGUGAGGUAAAGGCUCACCAAGGCGACGAUCCUUAGCUGGUCUGAGAGGAUGAUCAGCCACACUGGGACUGAGACACGGCCCAGACCUCCGUACGGGAGCAGCAGUAGGGAAUAGU
rnacentral:rRNA from 1 species